AUUCUGCCCAUGCGGGGAAGGAUGAGAAGCUUUGACCAAGGUUCGACUCGAGCGCCAGCGAGAGAGCGUUGCCGCAGGCAACGACCCGAAGGGCGAAGCGCGCAGCGCUGAGUAAUCCUUCCCCCACCACCA
rnacentral:sRNA from 2 species